UACAGAGGGUGCAAGCGUUAAUCGGAAUUACUGGGCGUAAAGGGUGCGUAGGUGGAUACGUAAGUCAGAUGUGAAAUCCCCGGGCUUAACCUGGGAACUGCAUUUGAUACUGCGAAUCUAGAGUAUGGUAGAGGUAAGUGGAAUUUCCAGUGUAGCGGUGAAAUGCGUAGAUAUUGGAAGGAACAUCAGUGGCGAAGGCGACUUACUGGACUGAUACUGACACUGAGGCACGAAAGCGUGGGGAGCAAACAGG
rnacentral:rRNA from 1 species